rnacentral:tRNA from 1 species
GGGCCUGUAUUAUAACGGUUCAUUAUUUUCGGCUGGCAGUCGAAAGAUCCGGGUUCGAUUCCCGGCAGGUCCA